GGUUUGAAAGAGGAUGCAAAAUGGGAAUGUGAUGACACAGGCCAAUGGAGUGGGCGCUUCAGUUUCGUUUGGCGACUGGAAGAUCUGGCAACACUGGCCCGCAGCCUGCAUGGGGACAGUUGGGGAACCUGGUAGGAGCUGCCUCCCUCAGACCAGGCACACCUUGCUCAGUUUGCCACGGCUCUGUCCCCAGCCUGCUCCACUCAUUGGCAUCUCUGUGUGAUGUCCACUGUAGACAUUCGAAUGUGUGAAUCCUGGUCUGAGAUGAUCUUGCUGGCCUCUUCUUCGGAACCUGAAGUGCCAGUCAUCACCGACUAUUCUGCUUUGGUCUGACUCCUGUCUUUGGGGAGUUAUUGGAGACGAUUGGCUCAGACUUGGUAGAGCUGGGAGGUAAGCCCUGGAUUCACAGCGGCCUAACACAAUAAGGGCUUACACUCUGCUCUCUGCACACACUCCGUGGACAGCCUUCCUCUGUCUGGGGCAGCCUUCCUCCGUCUUGUGGUGAUGCCGUAUCUGAAACAAGGACUUUGUGGCAGGAGAAGAGAAGGAGCGGAGACAAUCAGGCAGAUGGUAUCGAGGCCAGACCUGGAUGUGGAAGGCAACGCUUCUAGUCAUGUCCCGUUGUCCAGACCCCAAUCAUCUGUCCUAACAUGAUCUGCAAGGUGGGCCGAGAGUGGAGUCUUCCUGUGUGCCCGGGGAGGGCAAAACGAACAAAGACUGCUUCACAGGCAGUGUUUUCUCCUGGAGAGCAUAAAGGAAAGAUAUUUGUGAGAGGGAAAUCUGAUACACAUCCCUGUGCGGCCUCAGGUUGAGUGACGCAGAGAAUAAAGAGGCGGCACCAUGAAAGGAGGCGCCGCCUGCAUGCAGCGUCCCUCUCUGCAGGCUCCCUUAGAGGCGCAGCAGCAGCCAUUUGAAGUCUCUGUCAGGAGUCCCAGACAACGACCAGUCGCGAGUGAUGUGGAGCCACAUGUGGGUCAAGGCUGGGGAAUGCACCAUCUGCUGCCCAUCAACCAGGCCACAAAAGCUGGGAUAUGACCAUGGCAGAACCAAAAGUGUCUACCUCUUCCCCAGCUGUGGAGACCCAUGACCCAAGAAGAAGGGCGCCAGAAUUGGACUCCAACUCCUUCUCCAGCCAAAUUCUUUCCCUUUUCAUCUUCUGUUGGCUGUCAGACUCAGGAAGCAAGCUGAAUGCAGUGCACAUCUUUACCGGGUUUUCACAUUGCAACUGUGCUUUCUUCUGAGCUACUCACUUUGGGCAGAAUGUAAGGAGAUAGCAGCAUAGAACAUGUACUCAGUGUGGUCCCUGAGGUCUUCCCACUGCUCUGGGUAGCACCUUACCUGGUCUGCAAGGGGUUUUGCUGGGGACUCAGAGGUCUCAGAGCAGCACAGCUUUGUCUGAAGACAUCUUUAUGGAUAUUCUUAUCCAGACAAUUUUCUCCUCCCUGCCCUCUUUUGAUAUCCUCAUCAGAAUACAGGGAUCAAGAAGGAAGGGGAAGGCUUCUGGGACUAUCUCUGUGAAUAUGCUGGGAGUGGGCUGUCCCAAUCAUCCUGAUGCCAAUCUUGUGGCACCUCAGUUGAAACGGGGGCAUAAUGAAUCUCAUCCUGGAGGACUGAAUGAAAUUCUGUAAGAAAACCACAUGUGAAGAGGUCUCUGUCAACUAUAAAUUUCUGUGCACAUGUCAUUUAUUAGUAUCACUAUUCUCUGUUAAUCUGAUAAUGCAGUCU